AAGCUGUGAAAAUCUGCAGUUAAAUCAGUUAAUCUGACUGGAAUCACUGCUGGCUAUGGAUUCAUUUCUGGGGGUGAUGUAAUCAAAAGUCUCUGUGCCAAAUAUAACAUGGGUGAAUUCUGAAAUGUGAGUUUGCACUGUUGGCAGAGAUCAAGCUGUCUUGACAGCACUAACCUUUGAGGGAGCUGGAGAAAUGGACGCUGUAACUUUUACUUAUCUAUUUUUAUCUUUUUUUGCAUUAUGGACUAUCCCCUGUUUCUCCUCGGUCGAAGUAAACACUGCUCCUCAAAGAGGAAACGUUUGCAGACAUUUAUGACAAAAGACAACUCAGACCUGCUGCCGUGCGCCCUGCAGACGAGAGCCUGACCCCCACGUCAAGAACUUCCUGUCCGACUUAAUGGAUCAUCUUACGUUUCAGAGCACCGACGCUGGAAAAGAAACAACAGAGGGAGGAAAGGCUUGGCAGGGAAGGGGGGGUGGGGUGUUAAGUUAGACAUGAGAGACAUGAAGGACAACAUUUUAGCUUGUAGGCCGCGGGAAGUGACAACAAACACGGGCCUCAAGUGAAACAGGAUCCAUUGCAGAAGGAAGAUGGAGCUGCUGCUCUUAGUCUGUUUCUCUCUGUGAAGGUUUGUUUGUCAGGGAUCAACCAGGAAGCAUGAAAGCUUCAUCUCUACAGAAAAAUGCAUUAGCUGGUUAAUGAACGGCAGGCCAAAAAAUAAGCUCAAAGCUUUUGUUUUUCUGUCCUCACUGAGCAAAUGUACGGCACUUAAAAUCAUAAAACUACAACUAAGGGAGAUCUGAAAAAAGUUAUGAUAAACUUUGUGUUAACAGAGUGACUCUUUUGUAAUAGCUCUCAUCUGGAGAAUAUAAUCCUUGUUUAGACUGAUUAUAUUUUUAAAGGACAUCUGAGUGGAUUAAACAUUUUGUUCCCACCCCCAUAAUACAUACACAUUAACAUUUCAUUGUCGACUCCCUUGAAGAUCAUCCAGGUUUUUCAAAUCUUGCAAUAUAAAAGUUCAAGGAAAGUAUUGUUUGGAUUUUUUGGUUUGAGAAAUUAAGAAAAAUGUACUUUUUAUAAAAACUGCUGCAGAUUAUGUUUUGGUUAAUUAAUAAUUUCAAUCACAUUUUUUUUGUUUUUUUGUGUGCAAAGAGAAAUGUUUCCACGUGUGUGGUAGGACUGCACAGUGUGUCCAAUGAUGUUUUAUACAUUGUUUAAAUGUUUUCUUACAUGUCAUGUAAACAAAGCUUUGCUGUACUGUGAAAUGAGUGUCCAGAUAACUAAGCUUUAUGUUGAUGAGCAUACAUUUUUUUUUCUUUUCAUUAGGUAUUUUCUCAGAUGUGAGCCGAGACAAAAUUGAGACUUCUUGUAAUUAAGUGUGAGCAUCACCAUCAUUCUUAUUAAUACUAGCAUUGUCAUUUCUGUGCUCUUUAUAGAGUUUUUAGACAAUGCAAAAACUCUGUACUCUGUCGAAGAGUAAUCUUCUAGUUACCACAGGAUUUCAUCCAAAAGGCUUUGUGUCUUUAGAGGCAGAAUAAAAAUAUAUACGAAGGCUUCGCAAGGCAGAUAUGAUUUUCAGAUUUCACCCAAAGGAUUCACAAUUUCAAAAUUAAAUCAUCCUCAAUGAUUUCGACUUCAGUCUGUUUGAAUAAAACUUUGUCAAAAUAAAGAGUCAAUCUGUACAUCAGUCUCUGGUGAGAUGUCGUCUCAUGGAGUCAAUAGAGAAGAAAAAUAAAACAAGCAGACAAGUUGAAUUUCUCUGAGCGCUUCGAGAGCCAGCACCAAGAGAAGACCCUGCUUCUGCGAGGUAGCUGCCUUAGCGAAAUUUAUUUACAAUUCACAAAAUACAGGUCUCAUUCUCAGUGUUCAAGCAUUUCACAUUAGUGCCGUCAUCUGACAAACCACCACUCCCUCUAAAGUCUCUAUUGCUCGCAGUCUUUGGUUUCCCAAUCAGAAAACUUGGCUUCACGAGGAACACUUCUAGAUUCAUUUUUUAUACACCAUCUCAUUAUUUCCUCACACACAUACACACCGUCUGUCUGAAUAUAAUAUUAUUCUUGUUUUCCUUUGCCGUCACUUUCCUCAUGAGGAUUUAUGCACUUUCUAUAAAAUGCUGAAUUUAAAACUCAGCCUUACAAGAACUUCUGAAGUUUUGUAUAUCUUAAGGUUACAGGUUCGCUCAAAAUUCAGCUGGUUAUACAGUUUGGGCUUCUCUAUAUUUUUCCAUAUUUAUAGAUAUAGUUUUCAUAUACAUUUCUUAUGUACACUCUUCUAUGGCUUGCAAACACAAUAUAACUUCUCUAUGUGAGGCUCUCACAUGUGCGUUGAAUGUAUGGGCGGCUUACUGAAGGCAUGUGUUGAAGAGAUUCUGUUCUCUGUACUUGUUGUCUGAAGGAUUUUUGUCCAAACAAAGAAAAAUCAGUUUGAAUUUUAAGUGCUAGGAUGCUGUGCAGUUUUAAAACAGAAAAUAAAACUAAAUAAGACUUUAUGUAGAGAUUACUGUUUCACUGCAUCUGUGAUAAAAGAUUUUGCUUCUGAAACUGAACUUAUACAGGAGGAUUUGCUUCUUGUCUUGCAGCGCAGACAGUUUCAGAUGCAGUCUCUUUCGUGGCAUAUUCUUUUUAAUGUGUACCUUUUAUCAGAACAAAAAUCUAUUUUACAAUCUAAGCAAUCAAAUCUGUAAAGAUAAGAAACUCUGACGGCUCUGACCAGAAAUCUGUAGCAUCAUUCAGGUAUGUCUCAGUUCUGAAAAAUCCUCAUCACGCUUGAGUACAUGACACUCAUUCAUACUGUCCUUGGAACAAAUCUUACUGUUGUCUGGGGCCAAUCAUGACAAAAGUCAGAUAAUUGAAACAAACUAUAAUAUGAUGUCAUUUCCCUUUGAAGGACAGUACAAAGAAGAUGGCUAAGUUACACUAGAGACACACUGUCUACCUCCACCUGU